rnacentral:rRNA from 1 species
AUUGAACGCUGGCGGCAUGCCUUACACAUGCAAGUCGAACGGUAACGCGGGGCAACCUGGCGACGAGUGGCGAACGGGUGAGUAAUGUAUCGGAACGUGCCCAGUUGUGGGGGAUAACUGCUCGAAAGAGCAGCUAAUACCGCAUACGACCUGAGGGUGAAAGCGGGGGAUCGCAAGACCUCGCGCAAUUGGAGCGGCCGAUAUCAGAUUAGGUAGUUGGUGAGGUAAAGGCUCACCAAGCCGACGAUCUGUAGCUGGUCUGAGAGGACGACCGGUCACACUGGGACUGAGACACGACCCAGACUCCUACGGGAGGCAGCAGUGGGGAAUUUUGGACAAUGGACGCAAGUCUGAUCCAGCCAUGCCGCGUGCGGGAAGAAGGCCUUCGGGUUGUAAACCGCUUUUGUCAGGGAAGAAACGCUCUGGGUUAAUACCUCGGGGUAAUGACGGUACCUGAAGAAUAAGCACCGGCUAACUACGUGCCAGCCGCCGCCGUUAAUAC